ACUCCUACGGGAGGCAGCAGUGGGGAAUAUUGCACAAUGGGCGCAAGCCUGAUGCAGCAACGCCGCGUGAGGGAUGACGGCCUUCGGGUUGUAAACCUCUUUUAGCAGGGAAGAAGCGAAAGUGACGGUACCUGCAGAAA
rnacentral:rRNA from 1 species